UACAGAGGUGGCAAGCGUUGCUCGGUAUCACUGGGCUUAAAGGGCGCGUAGGCGGUGCGGUACGGUUUCGGUGAAAUCCCUCGGCCCAACCGAGGAACAGCCGGAGCUACGGCCGGACUAGACGGCAUCAGGGGACAGUGGAACUCCCGGUGGAGCGGUGAAAUGCGUAGAUAUCAUUUGGAACGCCAAUGGUGAAAACAGGUAGCUGGGAGUGUGCUGACGCUGAGACACGAAAGCCAGGGGAGCGAACGGG
rnacentral:rRNA from 1 species